CAAAACAGAGUGAAAGAAGGCACAGGGCUAAGGAGGAGACGGUCCUUUGGGAAGUGUUUAAGGAAGGGGCAGAGCCGUGCUCUGGGGAAGCGCCUGCUCCAUCACAUCCCCUGGGGAGAAGUUCUCAUUGGAGCAGAGUCUCUGCACGGGGAUGUCCUCAGGCAGGGCGCCGCGGGACAGGGACUCCACGAUCACCUCGGCCGAGCCCACGUCCAGCUCCGGUGGCGGCUGCAGCGCCAACACCACGGCCUUCUCGUCCUCGAUGACCAGGUUCCGCAGCUUCCGCUGCCGCGGGUUGUAGUUCUCCACGCGGUCAUGGAUCUCCAUGUGGCGCCUCAG